rnacentral:rRNA from 1 species
AUGAUGAAGCCUUACACAGCUGAAGAUGUGAAGAAAUCACUUUUCUCUAUUGGAGAUAUGAAAGCACCAGGUGUUGAUGGUCUUCAUGCAAUGUUCUUUAAAAAAUGUUGGCAUAUACUUGGCGACAUGUGAACUAUGAUGGUGCUUAGUGCUAUAAACAAUAAGGUUAUUCCUGAAGGUUGGGAUGAUACGGUCAAUGUUCUUAUUCCAAAGGUUGAUGAUCCAGAAAAGAUAAGUCAAUACAGACCGAUUAGCCUUUGCAAUGUCUUGUAUAAAGUUAUAUCCAAAAUGAUAGCUUUGAGGCUUAAAAUCUUUCUUGGUGAUAUAAUUUCUUCGGUGCAAAGUUCUUUUGUGCCUGGGAGGUUAAUCACGGAUAACAUUCUGUUAGCGAUGAAAGUCCAUACUAUAAAAAAUAAAAAGAAAUGAAAGUUUGGAUAUUGUGCGAUGAAACUGGACAUGCAUAAAGCCUAUGACCGUGUAGAAUGGAAGUUUUUGGAAAGUAUGUUGAUACAACUGGGAUUUCAUCAGAAUAUUGUUUAUUUACUCAUGGCCUGUGUUACAUCAGUAAAAUAUAAGGUGAGAUUUAAUGAUCAAGAGACUGAAGGGUUCAUCCUUACUAGGGGACUCCGCCAGGGGGACCCCCUCUCUCCAUAUUUAUUCAUGAUAUGUGUAGAAGGUUUGUCUAGUUCUUUAGCUCAACAAGAGGAGGUUCGUGGCAUUGAAGGUGUUCGGGUGCGCAGAAAUGCACCAUCAGUUUCACAUUUAUUAUUUACUGAUGAUUCCCUUAUCCUUAUGAGAGCGGAUUUGGUUAAUGCAACCUCGUUGAGACAGGUAUUGGAUGAAUAUUGUGCAAGCUCUGGACAAUUGGUGAGUGAAGGGAAAAGCAGUAUCUUCAGUCCAAAUGUGGAUGUCGAGUUAAAAGCCCAAGUAUGUGAAGAGUUGAAUAUUAUGACUGAGGCAAUUUCAGAAAAAUAUCUCGGACUUCCAUCUAAGACUGGUCUUGAUAGAAGUGACAGAUUUGAAUAUUUAGUGGAGAGAAUUAUUAACCAUCUUAAAGGGUGGAAGCAAAAGUUCUUAUCCAUUGGGGGUAAGGAAAUUUUGUUGAUGGCUAUUAUCCAGUCAAUACCGGUGUUUGCUAUAUCUGUGUUUAAAAUUCCAAAAAAGAUAUGCAAAGAAAUAACUGAUGCCAUGUCGAGCUUUUGGUGGGGAGACACUGAGGAACAGAAGAGGAUGCAUCGGUUUGCAUGGUGGAGAAUGUGUAUACAAAAAAGUAACGGAGGUAUGGGAUUUCAAGACCUUCAUGCUUUUAACCUUGCCUUGCUUGCAAAACAGAGUUGGAGAUUGAUAACCCAUCCAGAUACUCUCUAUGCAAAGGAUCUUCGUGCAAAAUACUAUCUGGAUGGUAAUUUGCUUAAAGUAGGAGUGAAGAAGGGGUCUUUAAUCACAUGGCAAAGUAUUUUCUUGGGUCUCCAAACUUUUAAAAGGGGACACAUUUGGAGAGUUGGUACUGGCGUGCAAAUAGAUAUCUAG